UGGGGAAUUUUGGACAAUGGGGGAAACCCUGAUCCAGCCAUUCCGCGUGAGUGAAGAAGGCCUUCGGGUUGUAAAGCUCUUUCAGCAGGAACGAAACGGUGUGGGCUAAUACCCUGCAUCACUGACGGUACCUGAAGAAGAAGCACCGGCUAACUACGUGCCAGCAGCCGCGGUAAUACGUAGGGUGCGAGCGUUAAUCGGAAUUACUGGGCGUAAAGCGUGCGCAGGCGGUUAUUUAAGACAGAUGUGAAAUCCCCGGGCUCAACCUGGGAACUGCGUUUGUGACUGGAUAGCUGGAGUAUGGCAGAGGGGGGUAGAAUUCCACGUGUAGCAGUGAAAUGCGUAGAGAUGUGGAGGAAUACCGAUGGCGAAGGCAGCCCCCUGGGCCAAUACUGACGCUCAUGCACGAAAGCGUGGGGAGCAAACAGG
rnacentral:rRNA from 1 species